UACGUAGGGUGCGAGCGUUAAUCGGAAUUACUGGGCGUAAAGCGUGCGCAGGCGGUUCGUUGUGUCGGCGGUGAAAGCCCCGGGCUCAACCUGGGAAUGGCCGUUGAAACUGGCGAACUGGAGUGUGGCAGAGGGGGGUGGAAUUCCGCGUGUAGCAAUGAAAUGCGUAGAGAUGCGGAGGAACACCGAUGGCGAAGGCAGCCCCCUGGGCUGACACUGACGCUCAGGCACGAAAGCGUGGGGAGCAAACAGG
rnacentral:rRNA from 1 species